UACAGAGGGUGCAAGCGUUAAUCGGAAUUACUGGGCGUAAAGCGUGCGUAGACGGUUAUUUAAGUCAGGUGUGAAAGCCCCGGGCUCAACCUGGGAAUUGCAUUUGAGACUGAAUAGCUAGGGUGCGGAAGAGGGAAGCGGAAUUUCCGGUGUAGCGGUGAAAUGCGUAGAUAUCGGAAGGAACACCAGUGGCGAAAGCGGCUUCCUGGUCCAGCACCGACGUUCAGGCACGAAAGCGUGGGUAGCAAACAGG
rnacentral:rRNA from 1 species